UACGGAGGGUGCAAGCGUUAUCCGGAUUUACUGGGUUUAAAGGGUGUGUAGGCGGGCCUUUAAGUCUGGGGUGAAAUCACCGAGCUCAACUCGGAAACUGCCCUGGAUACUAUUGGUCUUGAAUUAUGUUGAGGUUGGCGGAAUAUAACAUGUAGCGGUGAAAUGCAUAGAUAUGUUAUAGAACACCGAUUGCGAAGGCAGCUAACUAAGCAUAUAUUGACGCUGAGGCACGAAAGCGUGGGGAUCAAACAGG
rnacentral:rRNA from 1 species